rnacentral:rRNA from 1 species
CCUACGGGAGUCAGCAGUAAGGAAUAUUGGUCAAUGGAGGCAACUCUGAACCAGCCAUGCCGCGUGCAGGAUGAAGGCCCUAUGGGUCGUAAACUGCUUUUACACAAGAGAAAACCCGAGUACGUGUACUCGGUUGAUAGUAUUGUGAGAAUAAGCAUCGGCUAACUUCGUGCCAGCAGCCGCGGUAAGACGAAGGAUGCAAGCGUUAUCCGGAUUCAUUGGGUUUAAAGGGUGCGUAGGCGGACCUGUAAGUCAGUGGUGAAAUCUCUUUGCUUAACAAAGAAACUGCCAUUGAUACUGCAAGUCUAGAGUAUAGAUGACGUUGGCGGAAUAUGACAUGUAGUGGUGAAAUACUUAGAUAUGUCAUAGAACACCGAUUGCGAAGGCAGCUAACGAAACUAUAACUGACGCUGAGGCACGAAAGUGCGGGGAUCAAACAGGAUUAGAUACCCUGGUAGUCCGCACCGUAAACGAUGAUUACUCGUUGUUGGCAAUAUGACCGUCAGCGACCAAGCGAAAGCGANAAGUAAUCCACCUGGGGAGUACGCCGGCAACGGUGAAACUCAAAUGAAUUGACGG